AUUGAACGCUGGCGGCAUGCCUUACACAUGCAAGUCGAACGGCAGCACGGGUGCUUGCACCUGGUGGCGAGUGGCGAACGGGUGAGUAAUACAUCGGAACAUGUCCUGUAGUGGGGGAUAGCCCGGCGAAAGCCGGAUUAAUACCGCAUACGAUCUACGGAUGAAAGCGGGGGGCCUUCGGGCCUCGCGCUAUAGGGUUGGCCGAUGGCUGAUUAGCUAGUUGGGGGGGUAAAGGCCUACCAAGGCGACGAUCAGUAGCUGGUCUGAGAGGACGACCCGCCACACUGGAACGGAGACACGGCCCAGACUCCUACGGGAGGCAGCAGUGGGGAAUUUUGGACAAUGGGCGAAAGCCUGAUCCAGCAAUGCCGCGUGUGUGAAGAAGGCCUUCGGGUUGUAAAGCACUUUUGUCCGGAAAGAAAUCCUUGGCCCUAAUACGGUCGGGGGAUGACGGUACCGGAAGAAUAAGCACCGGCUAACUACGUG
rnacentral:rRNA from 1 species